AGAACCUGAAGGAGAAAAAGCACAAGUUGAAGAACAACCUGCAGGACCUGCACCAAGAGAUCAAGGAAACAAAGGUGGAAGGAACCAGGAACUUUUUAGAUAAAUUUCGGAAUCCCAACUGACAGCAGCAGCUCCAGAACGCAGAAGACGAGGAUUAAUUUUGAGACCAAGAUGGGAAAAAGGAGCCACAACAUAAAAUCUGAGACACUAGUAAUUAUUUUCUAAACUGGAUUGUUGUUGAAUGCCACUGCUACACUGCUAUCACCUACAGACAUUGUAACUGCAUGGUGGUGAUGAAGUUGUAAAUUGCUAUACAUGAUGGUCCACAUACCCCAGAGUUAAACUCUGGCAUAAUGUAAAUGCUUUGUCCAGUUGGUAGUGUACUGUCACUAAAAGGUGACAGACAUUACCUCAGCUGGAAUCACUCAUGGACACUUUUAAAGAAAUGUUGGUCAAUCCCUGGGUUAGUACAGUGGCACAACACUGGGUAAACUCUAACCAGUUCUUAAGGGUAGGAAACCAUUGGGUCACCAAUUAAAGCCGGGGUAGGCAGAAAUCUGGAAAAGGGAAAAAACAAACAAAACAAACAAACAAAAAAUACAUUUGAAAAUACACCCUCCCCCUGCAGCUCUCCCCUCUCUAAGCUCAUCCCACCAGACCACCACCAGUUGCAUGCAGUUCAGUCACUCAGCCCUUUCUUGCCCCACUCUCUCUUGUUCUAUCAGACCACAAUUGAGACAACAAUUAGUUGCUGACCACCCCACCAUCCCUUUGCAUUGCUCCCCACCACUGUGAACUACUUUGCGGGGAGGAGAAUCAGCAGCACCCUGGGAGACGGACCUUUGGUCCGCGCAAAAUCCCGAAAAGUAAGUGUCAAGGAGAGCUACUGGCAGUUCCUCUGAGCUGUGGUUUGCGCUGGCUGAUAUAUCGCUACUGCAGCUGCUGACAGGGGGCCAAAGUAUCCCAUCACAGGCAAGAUUUUCUAAAGCCUGAAAACAGAGUCAAGAGGAGGUGCAGUAGUCUAGUUUUUUCUCAGUCCAUUUAAAAUCCAAAAUACUCAAGGUUUAUGGGAUGUUCACCCAUUGAUGCCAAAAUCAUACUGCCUACCCCGGCUUGGCAAUGGGUUGCUUUGACCCACUGUUAGCAUUAUUUCUUUAUGUAACUACUGUGUUAUUUACCUGUACCUAAGUUUUGUUGACUUGGUGUUCUAACUUAGAACCAUCACAAAUGUAUUGUUAGUUGUACAAAACAACAUGCAUAUGACAUUCAAAAUAGCAAAGGAUAUAUUAUUUAAGAUUAGCAAUAAAAGUGAGCAAAAAUAGACUGACAAUUUGCAACCACCUUACUCAGUAAGUCAAUAACUCAACAGUAAUGUAAAAAAAAUAACACUAGCCAGGGCCAGUCCUUUUGAUACAGGGGCACAUACAGAUGAUUUAUCCUGGCUUCAUAUGAGCAGAGGAAAUCUUCACUCAUCACCAGGCUAAUUUAUAGUACAAUGUAAAAUGCCAUAGGCUUGUGCUAUCAAGCAUGUCAUAUUUGUUUAGUAUAAGACAGUUGUUUUGUCAAUGAACCUUGUGAGCUGUAAUGGAGCCAAAUUGUGUGCCAUUACCUUUGUUAAAUGUAGCUGUUGUCCCUGGCUUCAUAUGAGUAGAGAGAAGUCCGCUAGCCAGUAGGCUAAUUUAUACAAUGUAAAAUGCCAUAGGCUUGUGCUAAUAACGUUAGCAUGUUGUAUUCGUGGGGAAAAUGUGUCCAGAUAAAGACAAGUGUUUGUCUGUGAAUGCUGCGAGUUAUAGUGAAGCUGAUUUGUGUACUUGUGUUUGAAAAUGACGCUAUUAAGCCAUGUUUAAUGUGUGUUUAAUGUAUGUUUAAUGUGUGUUUUGAAUCAACUAAACUUUACAGCACUUCACAGAAACCCCGCUACUGACUCGUGUUUUGGAGGUGUAACUGCAGACUGACAUAGUCACACCACCGCACAAGUAUAAAUCCUCAUAACAGCUUAGGCUCUGCAUAGAGCUGCUGCACAAGUUUAAAUCCGCCUUUACAUGUCAUGUCCGUCACGCUUCUUAAUUGUGUAAUGCUGGCAUGCUGUCUAAAAUCACACACUGGAGCAGAAUGAUACCUGUUGUUUUUUCUGUAUAAAAAUGCAAAGGAGGCAUAAAAAGGGAUGUCAGCUCUGUGUAAAAAGGUCUAUAGUAGAAACUGGUCUCUUUUGGGGUUCGGUUUACUUGUA